rnacentral:rRNA from 1 species
UACGGAGGGUGCGAGCGUUAAUCGGAAUUACUGGGCGUAAAGGGUGCGUAGGUGGUUGAUUAAGUUAUCUGUAAAAUUCCUGGGCUCAACCUAGGGCGGUCAGAUAAUACUGGUUGACUCGAGUAUGGGAGAGGGUAGUGGAAUUUCCGGUGUAGCGGUGAAAUGCGUAGAGAUCGGAAGGAACACCGGUGGCGAAGGCGGCUACCUGGCCUAAUACUGACACUGAGGCACGAAAGCGUGGGGAGCAAACAGG